UUGACCUCGGAUCAGGUAGGAAUACCCGCUGAACUUAAGCAUAUCAUAAACCGGAGAGA
rnacentral:rRNA from 1 species